UGGCUCAGUGGUUAAGAGCACUGGAUGCUCUUCCAGAGGACCUGGGUUCAAUUCCCAA
rnacentral:tRNA from 1 species